rnacentral:rRNA from 1 species
UACGUAGGCAGCGAGCGUUGUUCGGAGUUACUGGGCGUAAAGGGUGUGUAGGCGGUUGUUUAAGUUUGGUGUGAAAUCUCCCGGCUCAACUGGGAGGGUGCGCCGAAUACUGAAUGACUAGAGUGCGGGAGAGGAGAGUGGAAUUCCUGGUGUAGCGGUGAAAUGCGUAGAUAUCAGGAGGAACACCGGUGGUGUAGACGGCUCUCUGGACCGUAACUGACGCUGAGACACGAAAGCGUGGGGAGCAAACAGG